GCGAGGGCUCGAUUCCACGUAUAUUUGCUGAACGCCUGUGGGGUGCCUGUUCUAGGCACAGGGGUGCGGGCGGCCGAGCAGGGCCGAGACAGAAGCCCCUACCUGGGGGAGAAGCGGAGAAGGCCGACGGAAAGAGUUAAACCAAACACGGGUGAUUCUUACCGUUCCCCCCGUGAAGUUCCGUGGUCUCCGCGAAGGCCGAAUCCGCGAAUACUGAAGUGCCCCUCCUGGAGGAAACAGGAGGUUAGCUUCCUACCAACCAUCAGUCACAACAUUUUCCUAAGCUGCUGGAUACGUGUAUUUCUGUAAAGACGUGUUGUUCGUAUAUGUCGUUGAUCCGUCCGCAUCGGGCUCCUGGCCAACAGCGCUGUGACUCAGGCCUGAACGAAGCUUCGCUGACACCCGGCCGGUCUGCGUAAGGCACAUCCCGGCCUUCUGGCGCUUAGGAACGCCGGACAGCCCUGCACCAGGGCGCCUUCCACCGCGACGUCGCCGACGAAAACCCAAAAACGUGAAAACAUGGCACCAAACAACUUGAAAAGGACCCCUGUCGGGACGAGAGCUGACACCAGAGGGCGGGGCGUUGGCUUUGCUCAACCUUCGCCGGAAACUACGCGUGCUGGACGACUCCCGUGUUUUGCCGGUCCGCGUCUGUCUGCGAGUUUUGGGGGUGGGGGGUACCGGUAAAUUUUAACAAGCGGAUGACGUCACAGACAGGGCAUCCGGAAACAAUGAGGAUCGCCUGUAAAUGCGUGCAGCGUCAGAGGAAGAACAGUCGAGCGGUGCGUGCUAGGGUCCUGGGGCCACCAUAACACCAAGUACCACAAAUUGGGUGGCUUCAAAGAGCAGACAUUUGUUCUUUCCCGUUCUGGAGGCUGCAUGUCCCACGCCAAGGCGCCGGCAGCACCAUGGCGUGGGGGUCCUAACUUGACCUUCCGGCUGAUGGUUCUCCCAGGUGUUCUAGCCUUGGGGCUAACCAGCCCCGGUGUCUCCUAAAAGGAGACCGUAACCAUAUUGGAAGACGGCCAACCUUUCCCCAGUGUGGCCUCGUCUUCACUUGCUUACAUCUGCAAAGAUCCUGUCUCCCAAUAAGGUCACGUUCACAGAGCCCCCACAACGGCUGGAACCCACAAACUGAGUUCAUGGCCUGCGCCCCAAAUCAAGAGGUGGAGGCUUAACGGACUGAGCCACCCAGGAGGUGCCCCCUGGGCACUGAGUUUUGAAGAGCAGACGGUGAGCUGGACUCCAGCCCCCGCUCGCCCAUUGGGUGAGUGCUUUGUGCAGUGGGCAACCUGUGGAACUGCACGUUAAGACCCUCAGGAUCGGUGGGAAAGGAAAACUCCUUUGAGGAGGGGAUAUUUGAACAGAGGCAUACAUGAAAUGGUGGAGGGAGCCACAGUGAGAUCUUGGGGGGAAAGCACCCAAGGCAGAAAGGCUCUGAGGCCGGAACACGCCUGGAGGGUUAACAGACUUGCAGGGAGGCCGGCCCACGUGGCUGGAAUCUUGGAGGGUGAGAGAGGGAGGGAGGGAAGGAGACGUGAGAUCCGAGGGAACCCAGCGGGGCCUGUGGUGUAGAACCCUGUGCUUCAUGGCGAUGAUUUUGCCGAGCCAGGGGGAGCCAAGGCCAAGGUCCUAAGCAGAGGGCUGUGAGCGGACUUGGGAUUCCUGGGCGCCCUCUGGCGGCCGUGGAGGGAACAGAUGGGGCGACCGCGGAAACGGAGCCCAGCCCGCAGGCCCAGGUGCCCAGGGCGCGUCUGGACCAGGGUGAUGCGCCCAGUUUCUCCUCAGGCCCUUGGGGGUGUUUGUGGCGGGGGAAGCGGAUAUGUGGGGGUCUCAGGAAAGAGAGACGACCCCCUCUCCCCCCCACUGCUAGCUGUCUACUUCCCCACGUGCGAAAUAAAGCACCGAAGAACACGGUUCUUAACAUCCUUGGAACCCUGCACGCUCCGGGCUGCGCCAAAAAAGUUUGGGGCGAUUUCCGCGGAAGUUCUGGAAGGUUGGCUGCAUGCGGCCCGACCGGGGAUGAUUAACGUUUCUGGAACACUUCAAGGGCACUGUUUCGAGCCCUUCCCCCCGGGAUAUUUUAUUUAGGCCUCCCAGAAGCCCCAGUGUGGGGAUUGAUAGCCCCAGCUCACGGGUGAAUAAACUGAGGCCCCCGAGGGGUGCAGGAGAUGGCAGGCUGGGCCGCACGCCAGGCGUUCUGGCUGCAAGCCCACGAACUUGGCCUCUGCACACCCAGCUUCCCCGGGAGCUGGGGGCGGGCAGCAAGGCCUUCCCAAGAGGACCGUGCCGGAACCAGAGCCCCCCACCCGCCGGGGGAGGAGAUCAAAACUGAUCUCAGCUCCUGCAAAGCUAGCCCCCCGGGGACCACACUUCACUUGCUCCCAGAUCCCAGAAGGAGCAGAAGCGGCUCGGUGGGUGCCUGUGGCGUCUCCUUUUCCACAGCUGAAGCAUCUGGAAAAAGACAGAGGCCCAGAACACCUCCCUCGGGGUCCAAGACGCCCCAAAGCUCAUCACUAACUCCCAGCCUUGCUGGCCUCCUUCUCCAACUGUUGUUGUUUUUAAUGUAAUUGUGGUGAAACGUGCAUAAUGUGAAAUUUACCACUUUAA